rnacentral:rRNA from 1 species
GACGAACGCUGGCGGCGUGCUUAACACAUGCAAGUCGAACGGAAAGGCCCUGCUUUUGUGGGGUGCUCGAGUGGCGAACGGGUGAGUAACACGUGAGUAACCUGCCCUUGACUUUGGGAUAACUUCAGGAAACUGUGGCUAAUACCGGAUAGGAGCUCCUGCUGCAUGGUGGGGGUUGGAAAGUUUCGGCGGUUGGGGAUGGACUCGCGGCUUAUCAGCUUGUUUGUGUGGUAGUGGCUUACCAAGGCUUUGACGGGUAGCCGGCCUGAGAGGGUUAACGGGCAAAAUGGGACUGAGAUAAGGACCAGAAGGCUACGGGAGGCAGCAGUGGGGAAUAUUGCAGAAUGGGCGGAAGCCUGAUGCAGAAACGCCGCGUGCGGGAUGACGGCCUUCGGGUUGUAAACCGCUUUCGCCUGUGACGAAGCGGGAGUGACGGUAAUGGGUAAAGAAGCACCGGCUAACUACGUG